rnacentral:lncRNA from 1 species
CAUAAAUAACUAACAUAAGGGAGACACAAUCCAAUACAGAAAUCACCUAUGGAUAGCCCUGCCAAGCCUCACCCAACCCCUGGUGAGGAGUACGAAAAACUCUAGGGACCCCUAUCCUACAACCCUGAUACUAGACCUCCAGACUUUCCUAUCAAGGGCCAUGUCCUCGGAAACCCGCAUUCUAGCCAUAUCAUGCCUAAUCACCCCUCCCCAAUACCUCUUAGGCCUCCCUCCACCUCGUCGUGCACCGACCAUCGCCAGCCGCUC